rnacentral:misc_RNA from 1 species
GAUGAAGAACGUAGCGAACUGCGAUAAGUAAUGUGAAUUGCAGAAUUCAGUGAAUCAUCGAAUCUUUGAACGCACCUUGCGCCCGCCAGUAUUCUGGCGGGCAUGCCUGUCUGAGCGUCAUUUCAACCCUCAAGCAACUUCUGCUUGGUGUUGGGGAUCGGCCGUCAAACGCCGCCCCCGAAAUCUAUUGGCGAUCUCGCUGUAGCUUCCUAUGCGUAGUAGUAACAUCUCGCAUCUGGAGAGCGGCGCGGUCAUGCCGUAAAACACCCAACUUCUCAGGUUGACCUCAGAUCAGGUAGGAAUACCCGCUGAACUUAAGCAUAUCAAUAAGCGGAGGA